GACGAACGCUGGCGGCAUGCCUAACACAUGCAAGUCGAGCGAGUAGAUCCCUUCGGGGUGAAGCUAGCGGCGGACGGGUGAGUAACACGUGGGCAACCUGCCUCAUAGAGGGGAAUAGCCUUCCGAAAGGAAGAUUAAUACCGCAUAAGAUUGUAGCUUCGCAUGAAGCAGCAAUUAAAGGAGCAAUCCGCUAUGAGAUGGGCCCGCGGCGCAUUAGCUAGUUGGUGGGGUAACGGCUCACCAAGGCGACGAUGCGUAGCCGACCUGAGAGGGUGAUCGGCCACAUUGGGACUGAGACACGGCCCAGGCUCCUACGGGAGGCAGCAGUGGGGAAUAUUGCACAAUGGGGGAAACCCUGAUGCAGCAAUGCCGCGUGAGUGAUGACGGCCUUCGGGUUGUAAAGCUCUGUCUUCGGGGACGAUAAUGACGGUACCCGAGGAGGAAGCCACGGCUAACUACGUGCCAGCAGCCGCAGUAA
rnacentral:rRNA from 1 species